rnacentral:rRNA from 1 species
AGAGAUGGAUUGGUUGCCUUCGGGAACUCUGACACAGGUGCUGCAUGGCUGUCGUCAGUUCGUGUCGUGAGAUAGUUGGGUUAAGUCCCGUAACGAGCGCAACCCUUGUCCUUAGUUACCAGCACGUUAUGGUGGGCACUCUAAGGAGACUGCCGGUGCAAACCGGAGGAAAGGUGGGGAUGACGUCAAGUCAUCAUGGCCCUUACGGCCUGGGCUACACACGUGCUACAAUGGUCGGUACAAAGGGUUGCCAAGCCGCGAGGUGGAGCUAAUCCCAUAAAACCGAUCGUAGUCCGGAUCGCAGUCUGCAACUCGACUGCGUGAAGUCGGAAUCGCUAGUAAUCGUGAAUCAGAAUGUCACGGUGAAUACGUUCCCGGGCCUU